GAGGAGUUUCAUAGAAGAGUUGUUGGU
rnacentral:piRNA from 1 species